rnacentral:rRNA from 1 species
GCUUAUGGCCAUACCACCCUGAGCGCGCCCGAUCUCGUCUGAUCUCGGAAGCUAAGCAGGGUCGGGCCUGGUUAGUACUUGGAUGGGAGACCGCCUGGGAAUACCAGGUGUUGUAAGCUUUA